rnacentral:sRNA from 1 species
GCACGCAGAAAAAUGUCAUGGUUACUUGAAUAAAAUGACAUUAUUUCGAAAUGUAAGUCACUUGCUCACUUACCUGAAAAUCAUCAACAACAAAUAGACAGGAUUGUGAAGGACUUGAGUGCAUUUUCUUCCCGUGCAGCAAAGCCAAUUUGGCUAUGUCAAUAGAACGAAAGGACAUGAAAGAAUGGCAGCCCGAGGGACUCGACUCUGCGGAACUGGGACUACGACCAGAAAGCAUAUCUUUGAUUGCCAGCCAUUCAGGACGGCAAGUUUAUUGCACUACACUUGGCACUCAGCCAGGCGAGCGCGGAGCAGGGGGUAUCCCGAUCCCAUUCACCUGGCCAUCUGAGGCUCUGAAUCCUCGGCUGCCGAGUUGCCGAGCUCUCCGUUUCUCCAUUCUCCGGUUCACCAGUUCGAAUGACACUCACCGGGAAUUGACACAGAAUAGCUGCCAAAUGCCAGGGCACAAAGCGAAAUGAGGAAGUGUUUAAAUAAAAAAGGAGCAGGGAAGAACUAGGACUGCGGACUGGCCAGAUA